rnacentral:tRNA from 1 species
GGGGUAACUCAUCUAGUAAGCGACUCCAACGCCUUAUCCAGUCAAUAUUGAGCAACCGCCUCCUAAGCGGUAGGUCGCGCGUUCGAAUCGCGCCAGUCCCG